UGGGGAAUAUUGCACAAUGGGCGAAAGCCUGAUGCAGCAACGCCGCGUAGUGAUGAAGGCCUUCGGGUUGUAAAGCUCUGUCUUUUGGGACGAUAAUGACGGUACCAAAGGAGGAAGCCACGGCUAACUACGUGCCAGCAGCCGCGGUAAUACGUAGGUGGCAAGCGUUGUCCGGAUUUACUGGGCGUAAAGGAUGCGUAGGCGGAUUUUUAAGUGAGAUGUGAAAUACCCGGGCUUAACUUGGGUGCUGCAUUUCAAACUGGGAAUCUAGAGUGCGGGAGAGGAGAAUGGAAUUCCUAGUGUAGCGGUGAAAUGCGUAGAGAUUAGGAAGAACACCAGUGGCGAAGGCGAUUCUCUGGACCGUAACUGACGCUGAGGCAUGAAAGCGUGGGUAGCAAACAGGAUUAGAUACCCUGGUAGUCCACGCCGUAAACGAUGAGUACUAGGUGUAGGAGGUAUCGACCCCUUCUGUGCCGCAGUUAACACAAUAAGUACUCCGCCUGGGAAGUACGAUCGCAAGAUUAAAACUUAAAGGAAUUGACGGGGUCAUAGC
rnacentral:rRNA from 1 species